UGAACUUGUGCUUGUUUUCUGCCAGUGUUUACAUUGUGGUCUAUCACUGCCAACUUGGUUCUUGCAAGCAUACCUUUGUACGAAAAGUGAAGACGUUGGAAAGACGACCAUGGGCGCACUUUUAAAGUAUUUUCCUCCUUCCACUUGUGCUUAUUGACAACAUGAUUUAAUAUGGAAACCCAUUUUCUUGCAAUAUAAUAUUAUAUUAUAGAAGGUGA